AGAAUGUUUGAUCUUGGCUUAGGUUUUAUAAUAUAUUUGAAAUUGCAUGAAAAUUUUUGUAUUGGGUUGUUUAAUAGUAAAUUUUAUAUUUGCUAUGUCCGUAUUAUAUAAGAUUAAAUGAUAAAUUUAGUUCUCAGCAUGUUAAAUUAUAAUUGAUAUAUGGAAAUAUGAUUUAGAAAAUAUUUUAGGUCUAGUAAAUUUUGUGCCAGCAUCUGCGGUUAUACUUAAAGUUCAAGUAAAAGUUUUUCGGUUAAAGUUAGAUGAAAUUAAAUUUAUGGUUAGUUACUUACAAUAAAAGGUAAAAUUAAAUUGUUGUUAUGUAAAAAAGUAAAUUGAAAAUUGAAGCUAAAAAAGUUUAAUAAAAAACUAGGAUUAGAUACCCUAUUAUUUAAAUUAAAAUAUUUGAGACCUGGUUAGUAGUAGUUAUUUUCUUAAAAACUAAAAGAUUUGGCGGUAGUUUAAUCUUUUCAGAGGAAUUUGUUUUUUAAUCGAUAAACCACGAAGUAUCUUACUUAUCUUGUGUAUAGUAGUUUGUAUACCAUCAUUAUAAGGUAAUUUUAAAAGAAAAAAUUGCUUUAAUUAAAAAGUUUUAAUAAAAUUAGAUCAUGGUGCAGCUGAUAGAUAAGUUAAAAUGAAUUACAAUAAAUUAUUUUAAACGGAGUUAUAAAGUAAGAGUUAUAAUGAAGGAGGAUUUGAUUGUAUUGCAAGUUUAAUAAGCUUGAAAGAUAUAAGCUCUAAAUUAUGUACAUAUCGCCCGUCGCUUUCAUUUAUAAGUGAAAUAAGUCGUAACAUAGUAGAUGUACUGGAAAGUGUAUCUAGAAUUAA
rnacentral:ncRNA from 1 species